AGUGGACGCUGGCGGUAGGCCUAACACAUGCAAGUCGAACGGCAGCACAGUAAGAGCUUGCUCUUACGGGUGGCGAGUGGCGGACGGGUGAGGAAUACAUCGGAAUCUACUUUUUCGUGGGGGAUAACGUAGGGAAACUUACGCUAAUACCUCAUACGACCUACGGGUGAAAGCAGGGGAUCUUCGGACCUUGCGCGAUUGAAUGAGCCGAUGUCGGAUUAGCUAGUUGGCGGGGUAAAGGCCCACCAAGGCGACGAUCCGUAGCUGGUCUGAGAGGAUGAUCAGCCACACUGGAACUGAGACACGGUCCAGACUCCUACGGGAGGCAGCAGUGGGGAAUAUUGGACAAUGGGCGCAAGCCUGAUCCAGCCAUACCGCGUGGGUGAAGAAGGCCUUCGGGUUGUAAAGCCCUUUUGUUGGGAAAGAAAAGCAGCAGGUUAAUACCCCGCUGUUCUGACGGUACCCAAAGAAUAAGCACCGGCUAACUUCGUG
rnacentral:rRNA from 1 species